CGGGCGUACCAUGCUGAAUAUACCGGUUCUCGUUAGAUCACCGAAGUCAAGCAUCAUUGGGCGCGGUCAGUACUUGGGUGGGUGACCACCUGGGAACACUGCGUGCC
rnacentral:rRNA from 1 species